UAGUGCUACAGCUCGUUUCGAAUUUGUCUAGUAGGUUUUCUGGUCUAUGCUGGAAAGUCCCC
rnacentral:snRNA from 1 species